rnacentral:rRNA from 1 species
CACGUAGGGCGCAAGCGUUGUCCGGAAUUACUGGGCGUAAAGCGCACGUAGGCGGCUUUGUAAGUUAGAGGUGAAAGCCUGGAGCUCAACUCCAGAAUUGCCUUUAAGACUGCAUCGCUUGAAUCCAGGAGAGGUGAGUGGAAUUCCGAGUGUAGAGGUGAAAUUCGUAGAUAUUCGGAAGAACACCAGUGGCGAAGGCGGCUCACUGGACUGGUAUUGACGCUGAGGUGCGAAAGCGUGGGGAGCAAACAGG